rnacentral:misc_RNA from 1 species
GAUGAAGAACGCAGUGAAAUGCGAUAAGUAGUGUGAAUUGCAGAAUUCAGUGAAUCAUCGAAUCUUUGAACGCACAUUGCGCCCUUUGGUAUUCCAAAGGGCAUGCCUGUUCGAGCGUCAUUUGUACCCUCAAGCUUUGCUUGGUGUUGGGCGUCUUGUCUCUAGCUUUGCUGGAGACUCGCCUUAAAGUAAUUGGCAGCCGGCCUACUGGUUUCGGAGCUCAGCACAAGUCGCACUCUCUAUCAGCAAAGGUCUAGCAUCCAUUAAGCCUUUUUUUCAACUUUUGACCUCGGAUCAGGUAGGGAUACCCGCUGAACUUAAGCAUAUCAAUAAGCGGAGGA